rnacentral:misc_RNA from 1 species
GCAAACUUGGUCAUUUAGAGGAAGUAAAAGUCGUAACAAGGUUUCCGUAGGUGAACCUGCGGAAGGAUCAUUAAAAAAUCUCUUGAGCCGCAAGGCUCUGUUAUUUUGUGCACGGUGCAGCUACCGUGGAUUUAUCAUGUCGUAUAUUACGUACGGUAAGAUAAGGAAGUGGUAUCUCACACCAUAAGCUAUACUUUAUAAUUGCGCGGAAUGAAUGGCAAGCAAAACUGAUAGUUUUGUGAGCUUUUAAUAUAAAAACAACUUUCAACAGUGGAUCUCUCGGCUCUUGCAUCGAUGAAGAACGCAGC